rnacentral:lncRNA from 1 species
UUUUUUUUUUCCUUCCUUUUUCCUUGACUACUCACUACAAAUCUAUUGAAUUAUUCGUUGCACAUAUAUAGUACGUACGUAGCUAUGAUGAUAUAGGUAAAUGUAAAUUGGACUCGUGCGUAGACAACUUUUUUUUUUUUUAACAAUGAUCAUCAAGUGCUGAUCUUUUAAGAAUGUUGUAUUCAGAAACUCUAGCUACGAACAUGCAUCUAUAUAUGUAUACAAUUGCCUGUCUAAGUAUUAAUUAAUAUGUGUGUCUAUGUUUAUAUUAACUAUUAUAGAUCGAGGCUAUGCUAAUUAAACUUACGAUCAUUUAAUUUAUUUAAGGUGCAUACAAAUUAUAUUUUUAAUCUACACAUGCAAACCAUUUUUUAAAAAGAGUAAUAUUUAUACACAAAAGAGGAUAGUGUUUUUUUUUUGAUUUUUUUUUGGGAUUGAUGAAAAUAACUUUAUAGAUGAUCAGGAACGAUUGCUUGAUGCUUGGUAACAAGAUUUUUGUGUAUCCUAUCUGUUCGAGAAUUUCUAAAUAUACUCAUACACUAUAUAAUGUGGAUAUACUUUCUAGUUUUUGCCCAUAUAUUACUG